rnacentral:rRNA from 1 species
AGUGAACGCUGGCGGUAGGCCUAACACAUGCAAGUCGAACGGCAGCACAGUAAGAGCUUGCUCUUACGGGUGGCGAGUGGCGGACGGGUGAGGAAUACAUCGGAAUCUACUUUUUCGUGGGGGAUAACGUAGGGAAACUUACGCUAAUACCGCGUACGACCUACGGGUGAAAGCAGGGGAUCUUCGGACCUUGCGCGAUUGAAUGAGCCGAUGUCGGAUUAGCUAGUUGGCGGGGUAAAGGCCCACCAAGGCGACGAUCCGUAGCUGGUCUGAGAGGAUGAUCAGCCACACUGGAACUGAGACACGGUCCAGACUCCUACGGGAGGCAGCAGUGGGGAAUAUUGGACAAUGGGCGCAAGCCUGAUCCAGCCAUACCGCGUGGGUGAAGAAGGCCUUCGGGUUGUAAAGCCCUUUUGUUGGGAAAGAAAAGCAGCAGGUUAAUACCCCGCUGUUCUGACGGUACCCAAAGAAUAAGCAACGGCUAACUUCGUG